rnacentral:lncRNA from 1 species
AUGCAGAAAUACUUCUUUAGGGCCGGGAUUUAUAGAAAACGAUAGAAAGUGUGAGAGCGGUGAGAACGCUUAACGAUCGUCCGAUCAAAACAAUCUAUGGACUAGAUUGGCGCGGUGGCGUUUUCGUAAAUAACAUCAAUUUUAUUACGUGGACGCGCUUCAUUAAGGGUAAAAUGGUCUUUUGACUACUCCACACAAAACGCCAUCUCAUGAAACAAAACGCCAAAAAACAAAAAUCACAGACCACUCUGAGUAAAACGCCAUUAAAUAUAAAACACCAAACUUAAUUAUAGUAAAAUCCCGCCUAAAAAAACCCCCCAAAAAAUCCUAUAUAUACGACAUCUCAGACCUUCAGUUAAAAACACACACAAAAACCCAAACGCCAUAUUUCAUAUAACCCAUUCGCAUUAGAAACGCCAAAAAACCCAAACAUCAAAUAUCUUCAACCCCAAAAAAGUUUUUUUUUGAAAUUCAGUUUGGCUGUCAGUAAGAUUUCGCUCAAUGAAAUAGACAAAAUCCUUAAGUGAGGAUAUAGUACAUUUCAUUGAGUAAAAUCUCAUUGACUUAUCCUAAACUUCCAUCAAAUUUAUAACGCCGAAACAUACAAAAACAUUAUUGAGGUUUGUUUUCAAUAAAGUUUAGCUGUAUGUGGUGGACAACAUUGUCAGUUAUCUUUCUUAACCGAGGAUUAACAAUGUUGUCAAUAUCAUACAGCAAAACAUUAUUGAUUUUAGCAUGAUUAAAAUUUGAGGUUUAAGGUGAUCUUAUUUCGUGGCGUUCUUUUUAUCGGUAAAACGUCAAAAAAGAUAAAAAAUCAAACAUCGUUGAUUGUAAAAAUUCAAGAUUGUUGGCUGAAGGAUAUAAACUCAAUAACAUUUUGCUGCAUGAGAUGGACAAAUCUUCAAGAAAAAGAUGCUGAUGUCAGACUGUGUGCUUCCAAACAGCAACACAAAAAACUACUUGAAAAACAAAAAAUACAAAAUGAAUCAUACGAAAGUCGAACCAGCCAGUUAACAUGAUUCAAAAAGAGAAGAAAGAGACUAGAGACAGAGAAGAUUUGGAAGAUCAAUUGUUUAUGUAUUCUUUUUUUUUAUUUUCCUUUUCACAUAAUUGUUAUAUAAUAAAAACACCAUAUAUAAUAAAAACGCCAAAAUAGCCAAAAUGCUUGUUUAAACGAUAUCAUCCAGUUAACCGCCACCAAAAAACUCCCAAACUAUAAUAAAAUUACUUUGAAAUUAUUAUAAAAAACCCAAAAAAAAUUUUAAAAAA